CAUCAGAUCAUAUGCAGGCAGUAAAGUGGAGUUUGGGCAAGGGAUGUAUGCUUAUCAGUCCCUUUAGAAGAACACUUUAGUGGCUGUAUUUCAGCCAUUCAUGGAACACUGUGAAGCCACCCUGGCAAAGAUGCAUUGAUUUCAUCAGACUGAUUGGACAAAGAGCAUGUGAUGUGAGGGGAAGGGAUGUCUGCUCUCAUGUCACAGGAGGACAAGUGAUGUCACAGGAAAGGCAAUAAUAUCAGACAGCAUAUCAAGAAGAAGGGAAGUGACGUCACAAGGAAGAAUGAGGCUGGACUGUAUGUCACAUGAAGGGACGGGAAGUUGACGUGUCACAGGAAGGAAAAAGGAGGCCCUGGGGGAGCAAAGUAACCCAGCCAAGAUUUCACCAGGACAAAGUCUGUCUGGAGAUGCAUGAAGCAGGAGCCACUGAAUAGGAUGAGAGGCCAAUGGGAAAGUAAACCCUGGGAGAGGAGGAAGGAAAUAACAAGAGGCUCCAUCUCAUUGUCUUAUUACGGGAAAGGUCCCUCCUCCUGUCCCUCAAUUGCUUUGUACCCAUAAGCCAGCUGUAAUCAGAGGAAAGAAUAUGACACAUACAGCUCCAUGGACAUACUGGCC